rnacentral:rRNA from 1 species
ACGGGUGAGUAACACGUGAGUAACCUGCCCUUGACUCUGGGAUAAGCACUGGAAACGGUGUCUAAUACCGGAUAUUUCAGCUGGCCGCAUGGUCUGGUUGUGGAAAGAAUUUUGGUCAAGGAUGGACUCGCGGCCUAUCAGGUUGUUGGUGAGGUAAUGGCUCACCAAGCCUACGACGGGUAGCCGGCCUGAGAGGGUGACCGGCCACACUGGGACUGAGACACGGCCCAGACUCCUACGGGAGGCAGCAGUGGGGAAUAUUGCACAAUGGGCGAAAGCCUGAUGCAGCAACGCCGCGUGAGGGACGACGGCCUUCGGGUUGUAAACCUCUUUUAGUAGGGAAGAAGCGAAAGUGACGGUACCUGCAGAAAAAGCACCGGCUAACUACGUGCCAGCAGCCGCGGUAAUACGUAGGGUGCAAGCGUUGUCCGGAAUUAUUGGGCGUAAAGAGCUCGUAGGCGGUUUGUCGCGUCUGCUGUGAAAACUGGAGGCUCAACCUCCAGCCUGCAGUGGGUACGGGCAGACUAGAGUGCGGUAGGGGAGAUUGGAAUUCCUGGUGUAGCGGUGGAAUGCGCAGA